ensembl:snoRNA small nucleolar RNA, C/D box 61
GCUGUGAUGACUUUUUUGGCGUUGAUCAUGUGAAAUGAUAGUGCUUUCGUGUCCUCUAAGAAGUUCUGAGCUU